rnacentral:rRNA from 2 species
GGCCUCAAAUCAGGUAGGACUACCCGCUGAACUUAAGCAUAUCAUUAAGCGGAGGAAAAGAAACUAACAAGGAUUCCCCUAGUAACUGCGAGUGAAGCGGGAAGAGCUCAAAUUUAAAAUCUGGCAGCUUUGCUGUCCGAGUUGUAAUCUGUAGAAGCAUUUUCUGCAUUGGACUGUGUACAAGUCUCUUGGAAUAGAGCGUCAUAGAGGGUGAGAAUCCCGUCCAUGACACAGACUGCCAAUGCUUUGUGAUAUGCUCUCAAAGAGUCGAGUUGUUUGGGAAUGCAGCUCAAAAUGGGUGGUAAAUUCCAUCUAAAGCUAAAUACAGGCGAGAGACCGAUAGCGAACAAGUACCGUGAGGGAAAGAUGAAAAGCACUUUGGAAAGAGAGUUAAACAGUACGUGAAAUUGUUGAAAGGGAAACGCUUGAAGUCAGUCGCAUUCUGCAGAACUCAGCCUUUGGUGAUUGAAGCCUUGGUGUACUUUCUGCAGGAUGGGUCAACAUCAAUUUUGGUCAGUGGAUAAAGGAUGAGGGAAUGUGGCACCUGUGAAGGUGUGUUAUAGCCUUCAUUCAUAUACAUUGACUGGGAUUGAGGAUUGCAGCAUGCCCUUUGUGGCCAGGCUUCAUGUCACAUGCUUAGGAUGUUGACAAAAUGGCUUUAAGCGACCCGUCUUGAAACACGGACCAAGGAGUCUAACAUGCCUGCAAGUGUUUGGGUGGAAAACCCUUGUGCAUAAUGAAAGUGAAAGUUGGGAACCUCCACAAGGGGGUGCACUGACACCCGGCCCUGAUGUUUACUGACGGUGCUGCGGUAGAGCAUGUAUGUUGGGACCCGAAAGAUGGUGAACUAUGCCUGAAUAGGGUGAAGCCAGAGGAAACUCUGGUGGAGGCUCGUAGCGAUUCUGACGUGCAAAUCGAUCGUCAAAUUUGGGUAUAGGGGCGAAAGACUAAUCG